GCGGCCGUAAUUCAGUGGCCGAAUGCCAGCUUCCCAAGCUGGACGUCGCCGGUUCGAAUCCGGUCGGCCGCUCCA
rnacentral:tRNA from 1 species